rnacentral:rRNA from 1 species
AUACGUAGGUGACAAGCGUUAUCCGGACUUACUGGGCGUAAAGGGCGUGUAGGCGGUCUUGCAAGUCAGAAGUGAAAUUCCUGAGCUCAACUCGGGCGCUGCUUCUGAACCUGCAGGACUUGAGUGCUGGAGGGGAUAGCGGAAUUCCUAGUGGAGCGGUAAAAUGCGCAGAUAUUAGGAAGAACACCGGUGGCGAAGGCGGCUAUCUGGACAGUAACUGACGCUGAGGCGCGAAAGCGUGGGGAGCAAACAGGAUUAGAUACCCUGGUAGUCCACGCCGUAGACGAUGAAUACUAGGUGUAGGGGGUAUCGACUCCCUCUGUGCCGCAGUUAACACAAUAAGUAUUCCGCCUGGGGAGUACGGCCGCAAGGUUGAAACUCAAAUGAAGUGGCGGGG